UACGGGAGGCAGCAGCGGGGAAUAUUGCACAAUGGGCGAAAGCCUGAUGCAGCUAUGCCGCGUGUAUGAAGAAGGCCUUAGGGUUGUAAAGUACUUUCAUCGGGGAGGAAAAAACAAAACUAAUAAUUUUAUUUCUUGACGUUACCCGAAAAAGAAGCACCGGCUAACUCCGUGCCAGCAGCCGCGGUAAUACGGAGGGUGCUAGCGUUAAUCAGAAUUACUGGGCGUAAAGAGCACGUAGGUGGUUUUUUUAAGUCAGAUGUGAAAUCCCUGGGCUUAACCUAGGAACUGCAUUUUGAAACUGAAAUACUAGAGUAUCGUAGAGGGAGGUAGAAUUCUAGGUGUAGCGGUGAAAUGCGUAGAUAUCUGGAGGAAUACCUGUGGCGAAAGCGGCCUCCUAAACGAAUACUGACACUGAGGUGCGAAAGCGUGGGGAGCAAACAGGGAUUAGAUACC
rnacentral:rRNA from 1 species